rnacentral:tRNA from 1 species
AGCUUUAUAGUCAAUAUUGAUGAUAUUAGACUGCAAUUCUAAAGUAGAAUUUAUUUAUUCUAAAGCUU